rnacentral:lncRNA from 1 species
CUGAAACAUAUCCUUUGUCUACACAUUUUCCUUACCUUUUCCAAAGCUAUGUAAUAGAAUUUCUGAUGAAGGCUAUGUGUGCAUUCAAGGUGCUGCUUUGGCUUAUAUAGAGUGCAACUUUCUGUUUACGUUCUGAACAAAGAAUAUCCAUCCUUUUGAUUGGUGCCCAAUACAGCAAGCUGCAGCAGAGAGGGAAUUUAUAAUGAUCACAGUAAAUGCUGACACCAUUGGAACAAAUGUGCUUGCAAAUCAAAUAGAAAUACACUCCAUUGGACUCAUGAGCUUUUAAAGUGCUUUGUCACAGAGGUAGGUGUAUUUUGCAGGAACUCAAGUUUUACGGUUUAAUUCAGAUGCUUUGUAAUUAACU